GAUCCUGGCUCAGGAUGAACGCUAGCUACAGGCUUAACACAUGCAAGUCGAGGGGCAGCAUGAACUUAGCUUGCUAAGUUUGAUGGCGACCGGCGCACGGGUGAGUAACACGUAUCCAACCUGCCGAUGACUCGGGGAUAGCCUUUCGAAAGAAAGAUUAAUACCCGAUGGCAUAGUUCUUCCGCAUGGUAGAACUAUUAAAGAAAUUCGGUAUGAGAUGGGGAUGCGUUCCAUUAGUUUG
rnacentral:rRNA from 1 species